GACAGAGCAAGAGACAGCUUCACAAGAAGGAGGUGCAGGAGGGCCCCUGAGCAGCACUCUGUACCCCAGGCCCUGAGGCCUUCACAGCAGGCGAGUUGCCUGUCCUGGCCUGUACCCGAGAGACAGGCUGAAACCCAUUGCCACAUUCAGGUGCCUUUUUGGAGAGCGCAAUUGUUUGUCCUGAAAGAUGCGUCUAGGGAGGGUUCAGGAUGCUUCUGAGAACUGCCCAGUGGUCAGGACCCUGAGCAGCCUGGCUGGGGGGCCUGAGAGGAGGGUGGGGAUCCCUCCUGCAUGACUGGGCCCUAACAGGUCAUUACAGACUAGGUCUGAGCUAUCCUCCAACAAUCACAGCAGUGUGGAAACCACUCUUCCUACAAUUAGAAACAUCAGGUUUGCAAUGUCUAUGAAGGGCAAUGCAGGGGGAGAAAUGAGUGCAAAUUAUAACAGACAAAACUGAGUCAGUGGACAUGGGUUCCCUCCCACGCCUCUGAUAGGAGGUGGAGAGAAACACCCUCCAAGGUGCCCUGUGGAGGUGCCCUCAGGGCAGGCCAACUGCCUGCUUCAUGCAGGGUAGGAAGUGGAUGCCUAGAACUUUCCAGGCACAUCUAAUAUCUGUAGGUCCAUGUGUAAGGCAUCCUGUUGGGAGGGGCCCCUGGCUGGGGAUGCCAGCUCAAGGCAGCCUGUCUCAGGUGCUCACCAGAGCCCUUUCCAUCUCAGGUGACUGUCUAAGGGAUCCACCUGUCAAACUGCCCAGCACCUGCUGUGGGGGGAACACUGGCUGGUGGGGAGCUGCAAAGUGCCCAGAAGGUUUACAUGGGCCUAAGGGGUCCCCUUAGAUGGCCAAGUGCCUCACAAAUCACCAUGACACACACACCCAACUGCCUUCUCCGAGGGCUCCUUUCUAAGCCUUUUUUCCUUGUAGGUCACCCUUCCUGCCAACAGCGUGAAGGACCCAACCCUGACAGAGACCAGACCCUGGGAUCUGGAAUGUGUAUCCUGAGUGUAUGCUGCCACUGCUCCUUAGCCACCUUCCCUGACGCUCUCUGGGAUGCAGGCAUUGCAUGCAGUUCACAUCGGAAGAUUCCACACUGCAACCCAGAAACCAAAAGGAGCCCAUUGCGAUCUGGCUCUGGGGGACCCUGGGAUGAUAUCCCUGCCCCUAGGGAUAGGAUGCAACCCCUGGGAACCUGGAGAGACUCUGUGCCCUGCAGGACUGAUGGGGGACUCCUCCCCGUAUGUACGUGUGUGUGGCCCUGCCUUGCUCUUGCCCCGGACUUGGCCUGGUGAAGGAGACACAAGGAAGAUUGCCGUCACGGAUGCUCAGUCUGGGAGCUGACCCUCAGGUGAGGCCCUCAGGAAGUUACCGGACCUCCCUGAACCUCAGUGUUCUCAUCUGUCCAGCAGCAACGGUGGGCUUUAAGUGAGAACAUCUCUGUGGAGGCCGCAGGUCCCAAUCAAGCCCUCUGUAAAGUUGCCUCGCCUUUUCCCUUCUUCUCCUCUCACAGAGCUGAAGACUAUUUUGCAAAGUUCAUUGUAAAUAUUAAAAUAAUCUUGGGUGUUUAUCAUUCGUUAAACCUGCUGAGCUGACUUUAGGUCUACUGCUCUCAAAAAAAAAAAAAAAAAAAAAAAAAGAAUAAAUGGCACAGGGAGCU